CUUUAGCCGCUCCUGUAUAUCCGCUGGGAGGGUUGACAUGGUGGGGAUACGCAUGUCGAUCGUCCUUCUCAUGGUGGCGAAAAUUGGAAGCUCCGUCCCACAAAUUAGCGUUGCCAGAGUUCGUACAAUUGUACCAAUUUGAAACAAAUAACAACCAAACUUGUGAUACUAAAGUAUCUAAAGUAAAAAUCUAAAAUUUUGUGAUAUAAGAAAUUUGCUUCAAAUAACAUUAAAUGACGUUUUUUUAAGUUUUUGUACAAAAUGUGUUGGUUUAGUACAUUUUGUGUCAAUAUUCCAGUGCAUGAGUGAAUUUAUAAAAAUUUCUCUGGCAACACCGUCACCUGCCGUGUACUGCUGGCUUCUGGCUUAUCAAAAUAUUCCGUUAAUUUUUUUAAAAUGCCACAUCACGGUUCUUGUGUCGUUUUUGACUGUCAUUUUACAUGGAGAAACAGUGGAAUGAAAUUCUUUCGCUUUCCUACAUCAAAAUAUAGGCAGGAUCAAAGAAAAAAAUGGAUUAAUGCUAUUCGAAGACAAAAAAUAUAAAGGCCAUAAAAUUUGGAAAAGAACAAAGAAGAGUCCAAAUCAUUGGUUAAUGAUAUGUUUUAUAGGGACUAUAUCAUAUAUUUUAAUGAAAGAAAAAAAAUGAGUACUGAACACAAAGCACAAUUAUUACAACCAAAUUCAAGGCAACUUAUAAUUAAUAAAAAGGAAGGUGUGCCACCUAGUGAUCUGGAUGCCUUCAGAAUCGAUCAUAUAUGAUGUCGGUAUUGAAGAAUGCUGGGAACACAAUAUAAAAUGAUUAAAAACAUUUUAUUUGAAUAAAUAAGUAUAUACCAUUUUUAUGUGGAAAUAAAGCACUUUACAAUUA